rnacentral:rRNA from 1 species
AGGGAAUCUUCCACAAUGGACGCAAGUCUGAUGGAGCAACGCCGCGUGAGUGAAGAAGGUUUUCGGACCGUAAAGCUCUGUUGUUGGUGAAGAAGGAUAGAGGUAGUAACUGGCCUUUAUUUGACGGUAAUCAACCAGAAAGUCACGGCUAACUACGUGCCAGCAGCCGCGGUAAUACGUAGGUGGCAAGCGUUGUCCGGAUUUAUUGGGCGUAAAGCGAGCGCAGGCGGAAGAAUAAGUCUGAUGUGAAAGCCCUCGGCUUAACCGAGGAAUUGCAUCGGAAACUGUUUUCUUGAGUGCAGAAGAGGAGAGUAGAACUCCAUGUGUAGCG